rnacentral:lncRNA from 1 species
CGGAGCUGGGCUUAAGGAGCUGAGAUCUGUUGUGAGUGAUUGGAAUGGGAGAGGUUGCAAAGAAAUUAACCUGCAAAGAACUUUUGCAAUCUGCCCUGACUCUGUGUUUGAAAGCCCCCUGCUCUGAGGUGACCGGCUGUGUCUGCAGGUUGUGUUUUAUACUGAACGGAGCUGCAGCAGAACUGGGCCACCAUGACCGGACCCAGGGAGCCGAUGUGCCCUUGCAGUCCUUGAGAGAAACGCCCGACCCCGAAGAGGCAGCGAGGUCGAUGUCAGGACACUGCUGGUGUUUCUGCUCUGCCAGGGGACUCUGAAUGGAUUUGCCAUGGUGACAUGAAAAAGACAGGGGGGAUACCCGACUGCCGGCUGGGAGAUCCUACACACACACACGCAGCCUGAUAGUAUUUUAAUUUAUUACUGUGUUUUCCUGUGAAGGGAGUUGAGAGCAGGAGGGGGG